GAUGAACGCUGGCGGCGUGCUUAACACAUGCAAGUCGAACGAAGCACUUUAUUUGAUUUCCUUCGGGACUGAUUAUUUUGUGACUGAGUGGCGGACGGGUGAGUAACGCGUGGGUAACCUGCCUUGUACAGGGGGAUAACAGUUGGAAACGGCUGCUAAUACCGCAUAAGCGCACAGCAUCGCAUGAUGCAGUGUGAAAAACUCCGGUGGUAUAAGAUGGACCCGCGUUGGAUUAGCUAGUUGGUGAGGUAACGGCCCACCAAGGCGACGAUCCAUAGCCGACCUGAGAGGGUGACCGGCCACAUUGGGACUGAGACACGGCCCAAACUCCUACGGGAGGCAGCAGUGGGGAAUAUUGCACAAUGGGGGAAAGCCUGAUGCAGCGACGCCGCGUGAGCGAAGAAGUAUUUCGGUAUGUAAAGCUCUAUCAGCAGGGAAGAUAAUGACGGUAC
rnacentral:rRNA from 1 species